UUAAGUAAAUAAAGCUGAUAACAUUUUUUGUUGAACGUCCAGUCCUCUCUGGCUGAAACUGAGGCGUAAGAUAAGAUUACUCUAGAGUCCAACGUUCAGCUGGAGUACAAGAACUCCAUUCUGUUGGAGCAGGGAAAAACACUGCACAACUCAAUGGAGAGGUUGAAGGAACAGCUGUGUGAGACUCACAGGAAAGUACUCGGAAGGACGAGAGCGUCUUCCUGAAGGACCAGUAUGAAGAUGUUAAGCCUAAUGAUGGCUCGCUUCACUGGCAGUGACAGCUCUUUGGACUUCAUAUUGAGAGUCAACAAGAACAGAUUCCAAAUGCAAACGCCACACCUGAAAUCAACUCUACACUUUUAUCUGCGUACUUAUCACAGAACCUCACAGUCGAGUCAGAACUCCACAUCCAGAACCCAGCGUAUAGAGGCUGAGUGAAUGUGGUGUGGACUCUGUGGAGCAGCUUCAUCGUGUCAGAGACACUGUAGAAGGACAGAGUUCCUGCA